GGACUACUAGGGUUUCUAAUCCUGUUUGCUCCCCACGCUUUCGCACCUGAGCGUCAGUCUUUGUCCAGGGGGCCGCCUUCGCCACCGGUAUUCCUCCAGAUCUCUACGCAUUUCACCGCUACACCUGGAAUUCUACCCCCCUCUACAAGACUCUAGCCUGCCAGUUUCGAAUGCAGUUCCCAGGUUGAGCCCGGGGAUUUCACAUCCGACUUGACAGACCGCCUGCGUGCGCUUUACGCCCAGUAAUUCCGAUUAACGCUUGCACCCUCCGUAUUACCGCGGCUGCUGGCACGGAGUUAGCCGGUGCUUCUUCUGCGGGUAACGUCAAUCGACAAGGUUAUUAACCUUAUCGCCUUCCUCCCCGCUGAAAGUACUUUACAACCCGAAGGCCUUCUUCAUA
rnacentral:misc_RNA from 1 species